GACAGAGGGUGCAAACGUUGUUCGGAAUUACUGGGCGUAAAGCGUGUGUAGGCGGCCGCGCAAGUCGGAUGGGAAAGCCCCGGGCUCAACCCGGGAAGUGCACCCGAUACUGCAUGGCUCGAGUACUGGAGAGGUUGGUGGAAUUCUCGGUGUAGAGGUGAAAUUCGUAGAUAUCGAGAGGAACACCGGUGGCGAAGGCGGCCAACUGGACAGAUACUGACGCUGAGACACGAAAGCGUGGGGAGCAAACAGG
rnacentral:rRNA from 1 species